GAGACCUCAGGUGUGUGACUCUCUACCUGUGCUCCAGGCAGGCACACAGGUACUGGUGUAAAGCAGGUCAGCUCUGUAGAGACCACCAUGAUCUCCACAGGUGCGGCAGGCACCUGGCGGGAAGGAUCCAUGACAUACCCUGCACCUCUCAGGAUGUGGCCCCAGGGCAGGGAAGUGGCUCCUGGCAGGUGACAAGGUGUGGAGUGGUCAUGCUGACGCCCACCCCAUCCUGACCCCAGACCAUCAUGGUCACCUCUGCCUCCCUGUCCAUGUGAUGGGGUGGAGUGUCCCCCACUGUGUGUCCUGUUGGUCCAGCUCUCUGGGUGGAUCAGUCUCACCUGCCCCCUCUGCUGUUUGCCUGGAACCUUCCAGGAGGAGGAGACCCUGUGUGGACCCUCGGUCAUCCCCUCCUUGUCCCCAUGCUGUGGGGACUCUGGUCCUGUCAGGGCUUCCCCAGUGUCUGUGGGGUGACAUGUCACGGUCCUGUGCACUGAGACUCCAUUAGGACCUGCAGACCCAGAGCUCUGUCAAUCACCAGCUCAGGAGGUCAGCUCCAGGGUGCACUGGGCUGGGGAUGCACCUGGGACCCCAGCCCCAUGCACUCUGUGUCCUGCUCACUGUAGCUCAGCACUGUGUCCCCAGGAGACCCUGGGUGUUGGGGGAGGAGGGUCACCCAGUGAAGGGCAAGCAGAGUCCAUCCAUCCUGCCCUAGGGACGCACACACAGGGGUCACCUACCCUGACCCCUUUCCCAAGGCCUCAGAUGCUGGGGUUUGGGCUGAGAGGAGGGAUGGGGACACUCAAAGGUCCAGCAGACGUCGGGCUGGAUGAACUGGCAGAGCAGAGACAGCCCUGGUGCAGCCCAGGGUCACACCUCUGCCCUCC
rnacentral:lncRNA from 1 species